rnacentral:rRNA from 6 species
AUCAUAGUCAAAAUCUGAGUUUGAUCCUGGCUCAGAAGGAACGCUAGCUAUAUGCUUAACACAUGCAAGUCGAACGUUGUUUUCGGGGAGCUGGGCAGAAGGAAAAGAGGCUCCUAGCUAAAGUUGUCUCGCCCUGCUUCAAAACUACAGGGCGCGCGCUACGGCUUUGACCUAACGGCCUCCGUUUGCUGGAAUCGGAAUAGUUGAGAACAAAGUGGCGAACG